UACAGAGGGUGCUAGCGUUGUUCGGAAUCAUUGGGCGUAAAGGGCGUGUAGGCGGUUUGUUAAGUCAUGUGUGAAAUCCCUCGGCUCAACCGGGGAAGGACGCAUGAAACUGGCAAGCUAGAGUACCAAAGAGGGGGGUGGAAUUCCCGGCGUAGCGGUGAAAUGCGUAGAUAUCGGGAGGAACACCUGUGGCGAAGGCGGCCCCCUGGUUGGAUACUGACGCUGAUACGCGAAAGCGUGGGGAGCAAACAGG
rnacentral:rRNA from 1 species